rnacentral:rRNA from 1 species
CACGUAGGGUGCGAGCGUUGUCCGGAAUUAUUGGGCGUAAAGAGCUCGUAGGCGGUGUGUCGCGUCGGCCGUGAAAACCUGCAGCUUAACUGUGGGCUUGCGGUCGAUACGGGCAUCACUGGAGUUCGGCAGGGGAGACUGGAAUUCCUGGUGUAGCGGUGAAAUGCGCAGAUAUCGUAAGGAAGACCAGUGGCGAAGGCGGCAUCCUGGACCGACACUGACGCUGAGGAGCGAAAGCCAGGGGAGCAAACGGG